GGAAGGAUCAUUAACACUAAUCCACAAAUCUUAACCGAGCCUUCAGUGCUGCAAUAGCGCAAGCUAGCGAAAGCGGGCAUGCUUCUGUUGCUGCAUCAUUAAACUAAUCAAACAAAGGAGCCUAACUAAGCUCAACAACCAAAAUCAAAUUCUCAACGAUGGAUAUCUUGGUUCCCAUAACGAUGAAGAACGCAGCGAAGUGCGAUAAGCAAUGCGAAUUGCAGAACCGUGAGUCAUCAGAUUUUUGAACGCAAUUGGCGUCGACUGGCUCUCCAGUCGGCAUGCUUGUUUCAGUGUCUUGUUAUCUCCUCACCCAAAUCAUAAUGCGAGAGAUACCCUUCUCUUGUUAAGUACGAAAGCACUCUGAGCUCUGCAAGCGUCUUCUCUUCGGAGGAGUUCGCACUCAAUGCAGCAGUCACAUUGCUUACAAUGUGAACUCAUUGAGAGUUGAGUCAGCGCAGUUUAUCUGCAAGUGUUUAGAUCUUUAAACUCUACUUGUAUCUGAAAUCAAGCAGGAUCACCCGCUGAACUUAAGCAUAUCACUAAGCGGAGGAAAAGAAAUUAACUAAGAUUGCCCCAGUAACGGCGAGUGAAGCGGCAAAAGCCCAAACUGAAAAUCUUCGUGCCUCGCACGACGAAUUGUAAUCUAGAGGGUAGAAGCUCACCUAGUUGUGGCGCAGAAGUGCCUUAGAACGGGCCGCCAGAGAGGGUGACAGCCCCGUAUGUGGUGCCACGACUUAACGAGCUCUAUUCAAUGAGUCGGGUUGUUUUGAAUUGCAGCCCUAAUCCGGGAGAUAGACUUCUUCUAAGGCUAAAUAUAUAUGGGAAACCGAUAGCGAACAAGUACUGUGAAGGAAAGAUGAAAAGAACUUUGAAAAGAGAGUCAAAAGACUUGAAAUCGUUGAGAAGGAAGCGGUAGAAAUUUAUUCUUCUGUCAUCAACAAAGUGUUCAGCUUUCGUAUUAGUACUACUCAGAACGUUAAAGGCUGACUGUACUACGUGCGGAUCUGAUUGCGGCGUUCUUGGCAGUGAGGCAAAAUGGGGCUUCAUUUCCAUAAAAGCUGGGUAAACCUGGGACGGUUCGCUGUUCAGUUUACUUGUGCUCGUGGGCGUGGUGCUCGAGGAUGCUUUGUGCGAUUUUGCCAAAAUGGUUUUUACCGACCCGUCUUGAAACACGGACCAAGGAGUCUAACAUAUAUGCGAGUGUGCUGGUGGAAAAACCGACACGCGUAAUGAAAGUGAAUGAUGCCAAGCGCAAGCAGCAGCAUCAACCGACCAUGAUCCUCUGGUGAAAGGUUUGAGUAUGAGCAUAUCUGUUAGGACCCGAAAGAUGGUGAACUAUGCCUGAGUAGGGUGAAGUCAGGGGAAACUCUGAUGGAAGCUCGUAGCGGUUCUGACGUGCAAAUCGAUCGUCAAACUUGGGUAUAGGGGCGAAAGACUAAUCGAACCAUCUAGUAGCUGGUUCCCUC
rnacentral:misc_RNA from 1 species